rnacentral:rRNA from 1 species
AUUGAACGCUGGCGGCAGGCCUAAUACAUGCAAGUCGAACGAGUGGCGGACGGGUGAGUUAUGUCUGGGAAACUGUCCGACGGAGGGGGAUAACUACUGGAAACGGUAGCUAAUACCGCAUACCAUCGGAUGUGCCCUGAUGGGAUUAGCUAGUGGGUGGGGUAACGGCUCACCUAGGCGACGCUCCCUAGCUGGUCUGAGAGGAUGACCAGCCACACUGGGACUGAGACACGGUCCAGAAUCCGACGGGAGGCAGCAGGAGGGAAUAUGUGGCAAGGGGCGCAAGCCUGAUUCAGCCAUGCCGCGUGUAUGAAGAAGGCCUUCGGGUUGUAAAGUACUUUCAGCGAGGAGGCGUUACUCGCAGAAGAAGCACCGGCUAACUCCGUGCCAGCAGCCGCGGUAAUAC